rnacentral:rRNA from 1 species
AGAGUUUGAUCCUGGCUCAGGAUGAACGCUGGCGGCGUGCUUAACACAUGCAAGUCGAACGAAGCACCUUGAUUUGAUUCUUCGGAUGAAGAUCUUGGUGACUGAGUGGCGGACGGGUGAGUAACGCGUGGGUAACCUGCCUCAUACAGGGGGAUAACAGUUAGAAAUGACUGCUAAUACCGCAUAAGACCACAGCACCGCAUGGUGCAGGGGUAAAAACUCUGGUGGUAUGAGAUGGACCCGCGUCUGAUUAGGUAGUUGGUGGGGUAACGGCCUACCAAGCCGACGAUCAGUAGCCGACCUGAGAGGGUGACCGGCCACAUUGGGACUGAGACACGGCCCAAACUCCUACGGGAGGCAGCAGUGGGGAAUAUUGCACAAUGGGGGAAACCCUGAUGCAGCGACGCCGCGUGAGCGAUGAAGUAUUUCGGUAUGUAAAGCUCUAUCAGCAGGGAAGAAAAUGACGGNACCUGACUAAGAAGCACCGGCUAAANACGUGCCAGCAGCCGCGGU